rnacentral:rRNA from 1 species
GAUGAACGCUGGCGGCGUGCUUAACACAUGCAAGUCGAACGGACUUUUAAUGAAGCCUAGCGAUUUAAAAGUUAGUGGCGGACGGGUGAGUAACGCGUGGGUAACCUGCCUUAUACAGGGGGAUAACACUUAGAAAUAGGUGCUAAUACCGCAUAAGCGCACAGUAUCGCAUGAUACAGUGUGAAAAACUCCGGUGGUAUAAGAUGGACCCGCGUCUGAUUAGCUAGUUGGUGAGGUAACGGCUCACCAAGGCGACGAUCAGUAGCCGGACUGAGAGGUUGACCGGCCACAUUGGGACUGAGAUACGGCCCAGACUCCUACGGGAGGCAGCAGUGGGGAAUAUUGGGCAAUGGGGGAAACCCUGACCCAGCAACGCCGCGUGAAGGAAGAAGGCCUUCGGGUUGGUAAACUUACUUUUGUCAGGAAGAGUAGAAGACGGUACCUGACGAAUAAGCCACGGCUAACUACGUGCCAGCAGCCGCGG